rnacentral:tRNA from 2 species
AGGGGCGUAGUUCAAUUGGUAGAGCAACAGUCUCCAAAACUGUAAGUUGCAGGUUCGAGUCCUGUCGCCCCUGCCA